rnacentral:rRNA from 1 species
GAUGAACGCUGGCGGCGUGCCUAAUACAUGCAAGUCGAGCGAAUGGAUUAAGAGCUUGCUCUUAUGAAGUUAGCGGCGGACGGGUGAGUAACACGUGGGUAACCUGCCCAUAAGACUGGGAUAACUCCGGGAAACCGGGGCUAAUACCGGAUAACAUUUUGAACCGCAUGGUUCGAAAUUGAAAGGCGGCUUCGGCUGUCACUUAUGGAUGGACCCGCGUCGCAUUAGCUAGUUGGUGAGGUAACGGCUCACCAAGGCAACGAUGCGUAGCCGAGCUGAGAGGGUGAUCGGCCACACUGGGACUGAGGCACGGCCCAGGCUCCUACGGGAGGCAGCAGUAGGGAAUCUUCCGCAAGGGACGAAAGGCUGACGGAGCAACGCCGCGUGAGUGAUGAAGGCUUUCGGGUCGUAAAACUCUGUUGUUAGGGAAGAACAAGUGCUAGUUGAAUAAGCUGACACCUUGACGGUACCUAACCAGAAAGCCACGGCUAACUACGUGCCAGCCGCCGCCGUAA